UACGUAGGGUGCAAGCGUUGUCCGGAAUUAUUGGGCGUAAAGAGCGUGUAGGCGGCCCGAUUAGUCCGCUGUGAAAGUCCAGGGCUCAACCCUGGAAUGCCGGUGGAUACUGUCGGGCUAGAGUCCGGAAGGGGCGAGUGGAAUUCCUGGUGUAGCGGUGAAAUGCGUAGAGAUCGGGAGGAACACCCGUGGCGAAGGCGGCCAUCUGGACCAGCACUGACGCUGAGGCACGAAAGCGUGGGGAGCAAACAGG
rnacentral:rRNA from 1 species